rnacentral:rRNA from 1 species
ACGACUCUCGGCAACGGAUAUCUCGGCUCUCGCAUCGAUGAAGAACGUAGCGAAAUGCGAUACUUGGUGUGAAUUGCAGAAUCCCGUGAACCAUCGAGUUUUUGAACGCAAGUUGCGCCCAAAGCCUUUCGGCCGAGGGCACGUCUGCCUGGGUGUCACGCAACA